UAACUAUGCACGUGUACAAAAUCUGAUGAAUGUCAUUGGAUGCAGUAUAAAAUCAUUGAUUGCGUUGGUCUUUGCAGGUGUGGGGUGUGCCUGGACUUUACCAAGGUGGCCAGGUGCCAGGACAAGGGUUUGGUGGUCGUGGAGUGUUGCCCGGUGUGGCCACUGGGAACGGACUCAAUCCCAAAUCAUUGCCAGGUGGAGGACAGCAGGGACCAGGAGGCUCGGGUCGUGUUGGUUAUGGAGGACCAAUGCAGCCAGGAGUAUUCCAUGGAUACCCACUCAAAACACCCAAAACACAAGGUGGCUAUGGAGCAAAAGUUGGAGGAGCUGGAGGCAAACUUCCAUUUGGAUAUGGAGGCUUUGGUGGUGGUGGUGGAGCAGGCCUUCCUGGUGGAAAAGGUGGUCCUGGAUCCAAGCCUGGAUACCCCAUUGGAACUGGUGUUGGGACAGGAGGUCUUAACCCGGCCCAGGCUCAGGCUAAAGCUGCUAAAUAUGGUGCUGGUCCUGGUUUGGGUGGUGUGCCUGGUGCAGGUGGAGCUUACCCUGGAGCAGGAGGAGCUUACCCUGGAGCAGGAGGAGCUUACCCUGGAGGAGUCCCAGGAGGUGCGGGUGGGGUCCCAGGUCUUGGAUCAGUAGCAGGAGGAGCAGGAGGAGUACCUGGAUGGUUACCCGCAGGAGCUGGAGGAUAUAACCCUGCUGCGGCCAAAGCUGCUAAAUAUGGAGUUCCAGGGGGUGCAGGUGCAGGCCUAGGAGCUGGAGGAUUUGGUGGGGUACCAGGAGGAGGAGGAGGGGGUGUACCUGGGGCCGGAGGACUCCCAGGAGGAGGUGCAGGCAGGCUCCCAGGUGCUGGCUCAGUCGCAGGAGGAGCAGGAGGAGUACCUGGGGCUGGAGGAUAUAAUCCUGCUGCGGCCAAAGCCGCUAAAUAUGGAGUUCCAGGAGGAGCAGGUGCAGGGUUAGGAGGAGCUGGAGGCUAUGGAGCGGGAGCCAGGCCUCCCUAUUACGGUGUUCCAGGGGGUGCUGGAUUUGGGGGAGCAGGAGCUUUUCCAGGGUCUGGAGGAUUCAACCCUGCCGCCGCCGCCAAAGCUGCUAAAUAUGGGGUCCCAGGAGGUACAGGGGCAGGCCUAGGAGCUGGAGGUCUUGGAGGAACAGGAGGGGUACCAGCAGGAGGAGCUGGGGCUGGAGGUGUCCCCGGAGGUGCAGGAGCAGGCCUAGGAGCAGGAGGAGUACCAGGAGGAGGAGCAGGGGGGGUACCUGGGGCUGGAGGAUAUAAUCCUGCUGCAGCCAAAGCAGCUAAAUAUGGAGUUCCAGGAGGUACAGGAGCAAGCCUAGGAGCUGGAGGACUUGGAGGAGGAUAUGGAGGAGCAGGAGGGGCUGGGGCUGGAGGAUAUAACCCUGCUGCGGCCAAAGCUGCUAAAUAUGGAGUUCCCGGAGGUGCAGGAGCAGGCCUAGGAGCUGGGGGAGCAGGAGGAGUACCAGGAGGAGGAGCAGGGGGUGUACCUGGGGCUGGAGGAUAUUAUCCCGCUGCGGCCAAAGCUGCUAAAUAUGGAGUUCCAGGAGGCCUAGGAACAGGCUUAGGAGGAGGAGGACUUGGAGGAGUACAGGGAGGAGUACCUGGAGGAGGAGCAGGGGGUGUACCUGGGGCUGGAGGAUAUAAUCCUGCUGCAGCCAAAGCUGCUAAAUAUGGUCAGGGGGCUGCUGGUGGGCCAGGGGGUGGAUAUGGUGGCGUGCCUGCUGGAGGAUAUCCCAGGCCUGGGGGCUAUGGGGGGUAUGGAGGGGCAGGAGCUGGAGGGUAUAAUCCUGCUGUGGCCAAAGCUGCUAAAUAUGUCCCAGGAGCUGGAGGAGCAGGCCUAGGAGCUGGAGGAGCAGGCCUAGGAGGAGCAGGAGGAGUACCAGGGCCUGGGGCUGGACCAGGAUAUGGAGGCUAUGGAGGAUAUGGAGGGGUACCAGCAGGAGGGGCUGCUGCUGCGGCCAAAGCUGCUAAAUAUGGAGUACCAGGAGGUGCAGGAGCAGGCCUUGGAGCUGGAGGACUUGGAGGAGCAGGAGGAGUACCAGGGGCUGGAGGAUAUAACCCUGCAGUGGCCAAAGCGGCUAAAUAUGGAGUCCCCGGAGGUGCAGGAGCAGGCAUAAGAGCUGGAGGAACAGGAGGAUUACCAGGAGGAGGAGCAGGGGGUGUACCUGGGGCUGGAGGAUAUAAUCCCGCUGCAGCCAAAGCUGCUAAAUAUGGAGUCCCAGGAGGUGUAGGAACAGGCCUAGGAGCAGGAGGACUUGGAGGAGGAGGACAGGGAGGAGUACCUGGACAAGUAGGAGCUGGAGGAUAUGAUCCCGCAGCCAAAGCUGCUAAAUAUGGUAUGCCAAGUGGGGCGGGCAUCGGUGGAGAAGGUGUGCCAGCACCUAUAGCGACUCCAAGACCAGGUGUGGGCGUGGGUGGUGGUGUUGGAGGAACUGCCAUUGAGCGCACUGACGUACCAGUGGGCACAGGGAUACCUAUCGCAGGCAAACCAGCAGAGGAUUCAUCUCUAGAACCCAGUGGAACUCCCAUCCCAGGUGCCACAGGAGUAACUGGAGUUGGGGCUGGGGUUCUUCAACCUAGUGUUGGUACAGGCCCAGCUCAGCCUGGUGUGGGUGUCGGAGCAGGUGGCAAAGCUCCUAAACCCCCUGGUGCAGGGGGAUACCCGUAUGGUGGUUAUGGACAGGCAGGACAACUCCGGUAUGGUCAAGGUUAUGGACAGGGUGCUGGUGGAUAUCCCUAUGGAGGAGGACAUGGAAAUCCAUACGGAGCAGGAGCUGGACAACUUCCUGGAGCCAAGCCCCUGAAACCUCCAGUUGUGGGAGGAGCAGGUGGUGUGGCUGGAGGAGCAGGUAUCCCUCUUACUGGAGCAGGUGGUGGUGCAGGGGGAUACCCGUAUGGUUAUGGUCAAGGUGGUUAUGGACAGGGACAGGGUGUGAGGUAUCCCACUGGUGUUGGUCUGGGGGCAGGAGCAGGUCAAAAAGCACCCAAACCCCCAGGUUAUGGUAACCUAGGUGCUGGUGGUGCUGGUUAUAAUCCAGGUGCUGGUGCGGUCCCAGGUUACGGCGGUGGCUACCCACAACAACAGGGUUACCCACAGCAAGGUGGCAGCUACCCACAACAACCCUACCCAGGAGCAUAUGGAGCAGGCCAGACGGCACCACUGACUCCUCAACAAGCCAAAGCAGCCAAGUAUGGCCCACUCCAGGGCUUCCUUGGUGGAGCAGGAGGAGGAGGCUACAGACCAGGAGGAGUUGCUGCUGGAUGCCAAAGCAAAUACUGUGGAAGGCAGAAGUAGAGGAUGUUCUUCAGAAGAAGUUGAACCUCAAGAAACAAUGGUGCUACUGCAUGAUCUAGAAUGUACAUUUUAUAUGCACAAAAUCCCCCAUUACAGUAUGUAAAGAUAUGUUGUACUUUAUUUGACUCAAUAUAUUUUUUAUACAAACCCACCGACCCAGACUUUUGCACACAUUUGAUGUGACUUAGUGUUUUUGAUUGUGCCUUUAUCAUUGUUCAUUGUGUUCAUCAGCUCUUACUGACAUGUCUGCGAUGCUCCCUUUUAGUAGUUACCAAGUGUUUGUAUGUGCAUGCAUGUGUGUGGGCGUGGAUGUGUGGCUGUGUGUCUCUCUAUGUGCUUGUGAGUUUUCACAUGUUGCCAGAGAUGUUUGGGUAUAUAGGAGAAUAUGAAAGAUUAUCCAACUAGAGCCAUUCAGCAUGCUUUUAAUGCAGAGAAGUGCUCCAAGUCAAAACCAGCACCAUUCCUGUAACUGUACAUCCCUCUCCAUGUGCUUAGUGUCUGUGUGUACCAAAGUUGGAGAUCUUCACAUACUGACAUCUCAAACCAAGGGUUGAGCUUCAAGAGGUGUGGUUGGUAAAGUGCUGAUAAACUUUGGCCAUGUAUCUUCAGAACUGCCUCCUCUGGCUUUCUAUCAUCUCUGCUGCUAUUUAUAGCCCUGGGUGAAAUAGCAGUGGCAUAGCGCGUGUGUGUGGGCACAGGUUUCACAGUCCAUCUGCCAUCAGCAACUUUGACUAUAUUUUAAGUGCCAUGGUGUAAGUAGCCUUCUUGCCUUGAUUUCUGACAAACUUGGGAAGUAUGAAGAGCAGGUGUUGCUCUGAAUGUGAUAAAGCUGAUGACAAUCAAUCCAAAGGUGUUCAAAAGAUUUGUAGGUGAUAUCUUCAGUGAUAUUCAUAUCAUACAUUGUGUUGGUUUGUACCCAAGUCCUUUCAAAUGGUGUGUUUUGUUUUUUAAAUGAUUUGUAUGUUUUAAGUUUUACAAACAUGUAAAAGUAAAACUGAAAUCCUUUCGAUACUGCUCUGGCAUGUCUUGUACGUUAUGUAUGUAUGUAUUGAACAUUUUGUUUUAUUAAUUACUUAUCAUUUUUCUGGUGUCCAAGAUUAAGUGCCUAGAAUGUUAUGCAUAUCUGUAAUCAAUCUAGUUUCACAUGCAGUUAUAGUUUCAUUUAUGCAAAUUGUCGCUCAUUAUUCAAGUUUCAAAUGUUUCCGCUCAUGAAAGUAGACUAUCACCAUAUUUGUGUAAUCUUGAAUAAGGCAAAAAAUGUUUGUUAAAAAAAAAUAUAUAUUUGGGUAAUGCAUUUAAUCACUGUUGAGAAUUUUAAUAUGUGUCUGUGUGUAGGCUAUAGCCCCUAGUCUGUGUAAAUUGUGAGAGUGAGCUCCCAUUUCACUCUUUACUUGAGUUAGUUACAGUUGAAUAAGACUCACUAGACAUUACUGACCAAAGAUUGAUUCGCUCUGUUAUAAAGUUACACUACGAUGUCUCUUUAGGGAUUGUGUGUACUGUAUGUUGUAGUAAUUGCCCUAGGUUAUCAUGACUCUCACUCGCUUCAGUUUUUGUAGCCUACUCGUGAGGCUUUUUCUGAACUGUGUGUGAGCCGCUCCUCUGCCGUGCGGUGGGAUAGUAUUCAUCUUAUUUAAAUGGAAAAAGGAGGAACGAUGGGGUUUUGCACUUUUAUAUUUUCAUGACGCACAUGUGACUUGUUCCCGGUAAUCCCGGCAUUUUAUUUGCUUAAGUAAAAUAACGAAAUAAAAUGGUUAAUAAAUACACA
rnacentral:lncRNA from 1 species